CUGGAGUGGGAAACCAGCACCAGCUGACCGCAGAGAGCCGGGCUGAUCAUGGAGAGGGCCGGCCCCGACUCCGCGCGGCCGCAACAGCAAUGGGACCAGGACUCGGUCGAAGCGUGGCUGGACGAUCACUGGAACUUUACCUUCUCUUACUUUGUUAGGAAAGGCACCAGAGAAAUGGUCAAUGCAUGGUUUGCUGAGAGAGUACACACCAUCCCUGUGUGCAAGGAAGGAGUCAGAGGCCACGCGGAAUCCUGCUCUUGUCCCUUGCAGCCAAGUACCCGUGCAGAGAGCAGUGUCCCUGGAACACCAACCAGGAAGAUCUCUGCCUCCGAAUUCGAUCGGCCACUUAGACCCAUUGUUAUCAAGGAUUCUGAGGGGACUGUGAGCUUCCUCUCUGACUCAGACAAGAAGGAACAGAUGCCUCUAACCUCCCCCCGGUUUGAUAAUGAUGAAGGGGACCAGUGCUCGAGACUCUUGGAAUUAGUGAAAGAUAUUUCUAGUCACUUGGAUGUCACAGCCUUAUGUCACAAAAUUUUCUUGCAUAUCCAUGGACUCAUCUCCGCCGACCGCUACUCCUUAUUCCUCGUCUGUGAGGACAGCUCCAACGACAAGUUUCUUAUCAGCCGCCUCUUUGAUGUUGCAGAAGGUUCAACACUGGAAGAAGCUUCAAAUAACUGUAUCCGCUUAGAGUGGAACAAAGGCAUCGUGGGACACGUGGCCGCUCUUGGCGAGCCCUUGAACAUCAAGGACGCCUAUGAGUGGUAAAGAAUCCACCUGCCAAUGCAGGAGCCAUGAGUUGGAUUCUUGAUGCAGGAAGAUCGGGCAUGCCAUAGAGUAGCUAAGCCCAUAGGCCACAACUCUUCAGCCUGUGUUCAAGGGCUUGGAAGCCCCAACUACUGAGCCACAUGCCGCCACUUCCGAAGCCCAAGUACCCUAGAGCCUGUGCUCUGCAACCAGAGAGGCCGCCACAAAGAGAAGCCUGCACACCCAACCGGAGACGAGCCCAUGCGGCGACCAAGAUCCAGCACAGCCCAAAGUAAAGACUCCUGCUUACAACAGUGACUUAACCCCAUACAUGUGCUGGUAUUCGUGUGAAAGGAUUUCCCAGGCAAGAACACUGGAAUGGGCCGCCAUUGCCUUCUCCAGGGAUCUUCCCGACCCAGGGAUCGAACCUGGGCCUUCUGCAUUGCAGGCAGAUGCUUCACCAUCUGAGCCACCAGGGAAGCCGACAACUCUGUAAUCUGUACUUUACACCAGCUAUGCUAAUGCUGCUAAACAUGACUCUAUAUUCCCAAGUCCAAAACCUUCAGUGGCUCUCUAAAGUCUUGGAAAAGGACAAGUUUUCCAGCCUGUUACAAAAGGAAAAAGAAAGAAGACCCAGAUGUGAUCUGAUUACAUGAGAACUGUGUCCCAGGACUGCCCUGGCAGAAGCCAGCAAGGAGAACAGUAACUCAGAUUUCUACACAAGAAUGCAAGUUGACUAUCCUAGCUACAUCCAUUCCACGUCUGCCUUAGAGAGGGGGACAGGGAAGGACCACGACCAUCCCCAACUCCAGGUGAUAUAUCCUAUAACCAACUGGGUUUCUGCAUAUACUAUCUAAACCAACUAUUUCCACAGUGGGAUUGUACAAACCGAUUCACUGGGGUACAGGGAGAAAUGUAGAAUUCCCACUUAAGUUGAAAAUAAACUAAGCUGUACUAAAACGUAACAAAUGGAUCAACUCCAACACCCUCACAAUCUGCACAUCAGAAAGUCACAGAUCAUGACUUGUGUCCUAAAGAAAUGAAAGUCAACAGUUGCAAAUCUACUGGUGCUUUCUCUGUGCAGCUAACAACAGAUACUGUGCCCUCUAACAAGAAUUCCAGAAAAAUUAACAUUUAUUUCUUUCAAAGAAAAAGUGACUUAAAAUGAGGAUUUUUUUUUUUCCAGAAGACACUUGUGUGGCUGAAAGAGCAUGUCUGUGUCAAUUAUUUUUUUAAAAGUUUCAUCUGCACAUUAAAAAACUUGGAAACAAAUUUUUCUAAUCUAUUUAUAAUAUUUCUAAAUUACAAUCUAUUUCCAAAGGCAAUUAAGACGAAAGCAAUUAGUUCCAAACUAAUAGAAAGGUACUAAGUUCUCAUAGUUUAAAGA